AACGAACGCUGGCGGCAUGCCUAACACAUGCAAGUCGAACGAGACCUUCGGGUCUAGUGGCGCACGGGUGCGUAACGCGUGGGAACCUGCCCUUAGGUUCGGAAUAACUCCCCGAAAGGGGUGCUAAUACCGGAUAAUGUCUUCGGACCAAAGAUUUAUCGCCUUUGGAUGGGCCCGCGUUGGAUUAGCUAGUUGGUAGGGUAAAAGCCUACCAAGGCGACGAUCCAUAGCUGGUCUGAGAGGAUGAUCAGCCACACUGGGACUGAGACACGGCCCAGACUCCUACGGGAGGCAGCAGUGGGGAAUAUUGGACAAUGGGCGAAAGCCUGAUCCAGCAAUGCCGCGUGAGUGAUUAAGGCCUUAGGGUUGUAAAGCUCUUUUACCCGGGAUGAUAAUGACAGUACCGGGAGAAUAAGCUCCGGCUAACUCCGUG
rnacentral:rRNA from 1 species